AGUGAACGCUGGCGGUAGGCCUAACACAUGCAAGUCGAACGGCAGCACAGAGGGGCUUGCUCCUUGGGUGGCGAGUGGCGGACGGGUGAGGAAUACAUCGGAAUCUACUCUGUCGUGGGGGAUAACGUAGGGAAACUUACGCUAAUACCGCAUACGACCUACGGGUGAAAGCAGGGGACCUUCGGGCCUUGCGCGAUUGAAUGAGCCGAUGUCGGAUUAGCUAGUUGGCGGGGUAAAGGCCCACCAAGGCGACGAUCCGUAGCUGGUCUGAGAGGAUGAUCAGCCACACUGGAACUGAGACACGGUCCAGACUCCUACGGGAGGCAGCAGUGGGGAAUAUUGGACAAUGGGCGCAAGCCUGAUCCAGCCAUACCGCGUGGGUGAAGAAGGCCUUCGGGUUGUAAAGCCCUUUUGUUGGGAAAGAAAUCCAGCUGGCCAAUACCCGGUUGGGAUGACGGUACCCAAAGAAUAAGCACCGGCUAACUUCGUGCCAGCCGCCGCAGUAA
rnacentral:rRNA from 1 species